AGGUUUUAGUCGGUAGGCGUCCUUCGGGAUGAAUCCGACACUACCCGGUCGCGCGGGCGCCCGGGUGUCUUUUGAAGAUUUCCU
rfam:Agrilus planipennis Contig45575, whole genome shotgun sequence.